GGGAUUGCGGCAGGAGUGUAUGGGCCUUGGAAGCUGUCUUCACAGUAAAGGUAGCAGAGAGAGAUAGAUAAUUCCCAGAAGAGAUUCAUAGGGUGACAGUGGAGGAGGGCGGAGCCGGAGGAUUCAAAGAGCUUUCAUCAACAUUCUGUGAAGACAGACGCUGUUUUGAUUUGAUAGCAUGUAUUCAGUCCUGGAGACUUCAAACCCAGGCUCUCUUUAUGAAGAAAGAAGAAUAGUUCAAGUUCCAGAGAAGGAGGCAAAGAAGCGCUAAAUGCCCCCAUCACUAGCCGUCGGAUUCAUUCCUUAGAGUUGUUCUAAGAAAUUGCCACAAACUGGGUGGCUUAAAGCAACAGAAAUUGAUUCUCUCACAGUUCUGGAGGCUGGAAGACCAAAGUCAACAGUCAGCAGGGCCUGCUGGCUAGUCAGGCGCUGCGCGUUCCCCUGCUGCAACAGUUGAAGGAAAAACGGGAGAACGUUCGUUUUCAAAUCUGGCUUUGCUUCUACCAGGUCGAGUGACGCCGGGUGAUGACAUAUAUUUUUAGGGCUGUUCCAAACAGAGCAAGCAAGGAGGCCUUAUUCUUCUUCAGUUUUUUAAGAGGGAUUUCUUACUGGUGAACUCAUUUUGGACCAACAAGAGCUGGUGAUCCUACAGUUUGUGGAUUUUUUUUUUUUUUUUUUACUGAAGGCUUUAAGGUCAAUUAAAGAUUAGUGUGGAAGGAGCUCAUGCUCAGAAAUGAGCUCUGUUUAGCCUGUUAGCACAGACAUAUGAUAUUCCACAAUACAGAAGAAUGUCUCUGAUGUGUCCAAAUUAGAGUUUUGGCGAAACAUUUAGCUGAGCACAGUUGGUGAGUCUUCCUCUGUUCUGAUUUGAAUGUUCUCCUGUUGUCAUUUGGACUCCAUGGUUGACUGGUCUAUUUCUGUGUCCCUACAUCAGCCCAUGUUGGACCUUGUUCAUGAUAUCAGUAUGGACUGUAAAAGCUUUUGUCCUUCAGCUGCAAAGGCUCAAACUUUAUUAUUUUUAUGUAUUCAUUUUACUUUUGUUAGCAGAUUUUUUUCUGGCAGGUUUAUUGAGAUAUAAUUGACGUACAGCACUGUAAUGUUUAAGGUGUACCACAUACUGAUUUGACUUACAUCAUGAAAUGAUCACAGUAAGUUGAGUGAACAUCAUCUCAU